GGAGGUGUGGCUGAGUGGCUGAAGGCACCGCAUUCGAAAUGCGACAGACCUUAACGGGUCUCAGGGGUUCAAAUCCUCUCACCUCCGCCA
rnacentral:tRNA from 1 species